rnacentral:pre_miRNA from 1 species
AAUUUCAACAUAAAUUAGCGAUGAUUGUCCAACUGGUUUGGUGUCGAGUUGAAAAAUGCAUCACCGGGUAGACAUUCAUUCUCUAAAUUUAUCGUCAAUCUC